AUGAUACUGAUUGCAGUUCUCGGUGUAAUGACACUUAUGAUACAAGGAGUUGAGUCGGCUGGGAUUCCACUUUCUUUAUCGACUGAUAUUUCAACUGUCAGACAGACCAUUGUCGACACCCACAACUCCUACAGGAGAAUUGCAAAUCCGACUGCACAAAACAUGCUGAAAAUGAUGUGGAACGAGGACACGGCACAGAAUGCGGGGAAUUGGUCAGCAACAUGUUCUUUCACUCAUAGCACAUCAGAUCAACGCACCAUUCCAGGUUUCAACUGUGGAGAAAAUAUUUACAUGGCUACAUAUCCAGCCUCUUGGGAGGAAGCCAUUCAAGCAUGGUACAGUGAGGGUGACAUUUUUCAAUAUGGAGUGGGACCCACUGUUGCCGGAAAGACCACAGGACAUUAUACCCAGCUCAUGUGGUACAAUUCAUACAUGGUGGGAUGUGCUGUCUCCUACUGUCCUGCAAACUAUUACCAGUACUUAUAUGUUUGCCAGUACUGCACAGCGGGAAAUAAUGUUAAUACCAUCACAACUCCAUACAAGUCUGGCCCAACGUGUGGAGACUGUCCAGGAGCCUGUGAUAAUGGCCUUUGCACCAAUUACUGCCCAUAUCAAGAUCUAUAUACCGGCUGCAGUAAUUUCAUCGCCUAUUGCAAUAUCAUUCCAAUGAUAAUGGAUGGCUGCCGUGGCACAUGUCUCUGCAGGAACAAUCAGAUCAUAUGAUUGGAGAACUUUCGUUGGGGCGAUGGGGCUAUUGGGUGACAAAUAAGUUGGUGUCAUAAAACAGUUUUAAUCAGAAAUAUAUACUGUAUGUAUCUAUACGGGUAAAUGUGUAUAAUGUGUAUUAAAUGUAUUGGUUUCUAGAAAUGGAUACAGUGUUUUUACUGAUGUCACAACUGCAAUAAAAAAUAACUAGAACAAUAAA